AUUGAACGCUGGCGGCAGGCCUAACACAUGCAAGUCGAACGGUAACAGGAAGAAGCUUGCUUCUUUGCUGACGAGUGGCGGACGGGUGAGAAAUGUCUGGGAAACUGCCUGAUGGAGGGGGAUAACUACUGGAAACGGUAGCUAAUACCGCAUAAUGUCGCAAGACCAAAGAGGGGGACCUUCGGGCCUCUUGCCAUCGGAUGUGCCCAGAUGGGAUUAGCUAGUAGGUGGGGUAACGGCUCACCUAGGCGACGAUCCCUAGCUGGUCUGAGAGGAUGACCAGCCACACUGGAACUGAGACACGGUCCAGACUCCUACGGGAGGCAGCAGUGGGGAAUAUUGCACAAUGGGCGCAAGCCUGAUGCAGCUAUGCCGCGUGUAUGAAGAAGGCCUUCGGGUUGUAAAGUACUUUCAGCGGGGAGGAAGGGAGUAAAGUUAAUACCUUUGCUCAUUGACGUUACCCGCAGAAGAAGCACCGGCUAACUCCGUG
rnacentral:rRNA from 1 species